CGGGGAACACGGCAAGGCCUCACGUCAAAACUGAAGGAAACUAAGAUAAAACACAGACUCGUCGAUUUCAUCGAAGUUCCUCUAGUCUCAGGACUCUGAUCGACGUUUGGACAAUCUAUUACCCAGAUUAACUUCCCAUAAGUGGGAGCCCCCAUAACAUGUUCAUAAUCAGUCAUAGCUAUGGACUGCACACCACGUGCCUGCCCACCUCAUUCAGACUGCUUCCAGCUUGGCCAGCUGCCCAAGAGAUCACUUUCAUGCAUCCAGGGGAGGGGGGCGGAGAUGGAGAGGAAAGGGGGAAUAUUAUGUAAUUUGAUAGGAUCAGAUGGGCCCAAGUUGAAAGCUCACACUGUGGGGCUAAGCAAGGUACUUAUCUUCUCUGAAUCUUAAUUUCUGUGAAAUGGGCAUAAUGUCCUGGUGAUGGGUGGUUUUAAAAGGCAACUUGACACACUGGAGUACCACUUGGGAAGGAUGUCUUAAUGAGGGGUUAUCUAAACACGGCUGGCCCGUCGGGUUAAUUGGGGUGGGAAGACCACCCUGCAUAUGGAUGACACUAUUUCAUGGGCUGACCCCGGACCGGAUGGGAAGGAGCCAGCACGCUGAGUGUGCAUGCAUCAAUUCUCUCCCUGCUCUGGGCUGUGAAUGUAAUGACUGGCUGCUUCAAGUUCCUGCCACCAGUCCCUCAUGGCAUUGCUUGCCUUUAAUCUCCCAGCCCUCCAAAGGUAGAGGCAGGCAGAUCUCUUAGUUUAAGGCUAGCCUGUUCCACAUAGCAAGUUCCAGGCUAGCCAAG
rnacentral:lncRNA from 1 species